AGGAUGAGUAGCAUCUGCUCAUUGCUCUGCAUAAAGUACAGGAGAUUCUUCCAGACUGCACAUUUGUAUAUUGAAGACAGGAACUCCCCCAGAGUGAUCCACAAUGACAGUUUCCCCAUCCUGUCUACAGCGGAUGACCUGGAGGCUGUUUCAGUCAGGCAGUUCAUCAAACACAUCAUGGAGCAGUACUCCAACAACCAACAUGGCUUUUCUCAGGAGUUCGAUGAGGUUCAACACUGCACAUCUGAAAUGAAGAUUACAGCAGAACGUUCAAACCAACCAGACAACAAGCACAAAAACAGAUACAUCAACAUUGUUGCCUAUGACCACAGCAGAGUGAAGUUGCAGCAACUGUCUGGGAAAGACUCCAAGCACAGUGAUUACAUCAAUGCCAACUAUGUAGACGGUUAUAAAAGACCCAGGGCUUAUAUAGCAGCUCAGGGCCCUCUGAAGUCCACAUUUGAGGACUUUUGGAGAAUGAUUUGGGAACAGAACACCACUGUGAUUGUCAUGAUCACCAACUUGGUGGAGAAAGGCAGGAGAAAAUGCGAUCAGUAUUGGCCAUCAGAGAACAGCGAGGUUUAUGGGAACAUAAUGGUGACUCUGAAGAGCACUAAAGUUUAUGCUUACUACACACUCCGCCAUUUCAUCAUGCGCAACACCAAACUGAAAAAGGGUCAGAAGGGAAGGCAUAACGAACGGCUGGUUGUCCAGUACCAUUACACACAGUGGCCAGACAUGGGCGUACCCGAGUAUACACUACCAGUCCUCAAAUUCAUCUCUCGAUCUUCAGCAGCCCGUACGCCAGGCACAGGCCCUGUUCUAGUUCACUGCAGUGCUGGAGUUGGCAGAACAGGCACAUACAUAGUCAUAGACAGCAUGCUGCAGCAGAUAAAGGACAACGGCACUGUCAACGUCCUAGGAUACCUCAAGCACAUCCGAGCUCAGCGCAACUACUUGGUCCAGACUGAGGAGCAGUUUAUCUUUAUCCAUGAUGCAUUAAUGGAAGCUGUGCUUGGCAAAGACACCGAGGUGCCUGUCUGGCAACUCCAUAGUUAUGUCAACAGCAUUCUCACCUCGAGCCCCACAGGACAAACACGCAUGGACAAACAAUUUAAGUUGUUGACGCAAUGCAAUUCUCACCUCACUGAGUGUUUCAGUGCCCAGAAAGACUGCAACAAAGAGAAGAACCGCACCUCGUCGGUCUUGCCAAUGGAACGGGCUCGGGUGGCACUAGCUCCCCUCCCAGGAGUAAAAGGAACCGACUACAUCAAUGCCGCCUACAUUAUGGGCUAUUACAGGAGCAACGAGUUCAUCAUUACCCAGCAUCCUCUGCCCCACACAACCACAGACUUCUGGAGGAUGAUCUGGGAUCAUAAUGCUCAAGUUAUUGUGAUGUUGCCAGACAACCUCGGCCUUACUGAGGAUGAAUUUGUGUACUGGCCCAGCAGAGAGGAGCCCAUGAACUGCGUAGCUUUCACUGUCACCCUCAUUAAUACUGACAGACUCUGCUUAUCUAAUGAGGAGCAACUCAUCAUCCACGACUUCAUCCUAGAAGCCACACAGGAUGACUAUGUGCUAGAAGUCCGACAUUUUCAAUGUCCAAACUGGCCAGAUCCUGAUGCAUCCAUCAGCAGCACAUUUGAGCUCAUCAACAUCAUCAAAGAAGAGGCUAUGGCAAGGGAUGGUCCCACCAUCGUGCAUGAUGAGUUUGGCGCCAUCUCUGCCGGGAUGUUCUGUGCUCUGACCACACUUUCCCAACAACUGGAGAACGAGAGUGCUGUGGAUGUCUAUCAAGUGGCCAAAAUGAUUAACCUCAUGAGGCCUGGCGUCUUCACUGAAAUUGAGCACUAUCACAACCUUUACAAGGCUAUGCUCAGCCUUGUCAGCAGUAAAGACUUCAGACUUGGCUUCAACUACAUGGACAAAAUUGCUGGGAUAGUGGUAACAGAUGAAUCCAACCAGGCUGAGAGCAUGGAGUCCUUGGUGUGAAGUUUUCGGGAAAAUGAGAUGGAACAAAGUGGUUCCUUGAACUUUCCAUGAGGCCUUUUUUCCCAGACUCUUGGUGAAAUAAAAAAGAAAAAAACAACA
ensembl:lncRNA receptor-type tyrosine-protein phosphatase gamma-like